rnacentral:rRNA from 1 species
GACGGAGGAUGCAAGCGUUAUCCGGAAUGAUUGGGCGUAAAGCGUCUGCAGGUGGCAGUUCAAGUCUGCUGUCAAAGACCGGGGCUUAACUUCGGAAAGGCAGUGGAAACUGAACAGCUAGAGUAUGGUAGGGGCAGAGGGAAUUCCUGGUGUAGCGGUGAAAUGCGUAGAGAUCAGGAAGAACAUCGGUGGCGAAGGCGCUCUGCUGGACCAUGACUGACACUCAGGGACGAAAGCUAGGGGAGCGAAUGGG